GACCGGCGCACGGGUGAGUAACGCGUAUGCAACCUACCUAUCAGAGGGGGAUAGCCCAUUGAAAGAUGGAUUAAUACCGCAUAAAGCAGGGGUCCCGCAUGGGAAUAUUUGCUAAAGAUUAAUUGCUGAUAGAUGGGCAUGCGUUCCAUUAGUUAGUUGGUAGGGUAACGGCCUACCAAGACAUCGAUGGAUAGGGGUUCUGAGAGGAAGGUCCCCCACACUGGUACUGAGACACGGACCAG
rnacentral:rRNA from 1 species